ACGUGAGCACAAUUUCCUCUCAAGCGGCGCCACAGGGUGACGCCCCAACCACUAGUUAAGUUCUCAAGUAACACCAACUUUACUGUACACCCUUUUUUCUGUUCCAAUUCUGAUAAUAUGACUACGUACAAUUUGAGGUUGAUGUUUACAUGCAAGCAAUGGGGCAAAAAAAGGUUCUCCAAGCAAGAGACUGAGAAUAUCCGUGGAUGGAUGUUACCUGCAAAAAUUCCCCACAAUUAUCUUCUUUGUUGAAUGCAACUUCAGCAAACGUCCAAACAUAGAUGCAAAGUAUAUUGGUUUGCUUUGUGUUGUAUAGUUCUUCUUUGGCACAUUGAACAUAUAAACCCAGCUAUACAACCCGCCCAACGAGUGCCAUAGCGCUUUCAGUUCGAUCCCGCCCGCACGAUCUAUCUCGCCCGCACGAUCUAUCUCGCUGGCACUUUUUUUACCGUGCUGUCGAAUAUCCAGCCAUUCGCUAACAUUCUGCUCUCGUGCUUUAGUCGAUGACAGGUGGGGCUCCUUUGCCCGCGGACCCAUCUUGCAGUGUGUGUCCCGUAUGUACGUGUCGUCUGUCUUCGGUGAAAAACGAUUGACCGCGACGGUCGUGGGCGACGUGGGUGGGUCGCGUCUGCUGAAACCUCGAGCCCCGCGUCCCUCCUUCCCCGCUCUCCACCCCCACGCUUCCCCGUGCAGCCACCGCCUCCCCAUCCCCGCUCUCUCCGCCCCGCCCAGAGUCCUUCGCGCCGCCCUUGAGGAGCGGAUCGACGACGGCCACCGCCUCCCCAUCCCCGCUCUCUCCGCCCCGCCCAGAGUCCUUCGCGCCGCCCUUGAGGAGCGGAUCGACGACGGCGAGGAUGAGAGAUCGAGGAGGGAGGGGUGACGCCGGCCAGCCGCAGGCCUCACCACCGGCUCGUGUGGAAGCGCUGGACAGCGGCAAGAAGGAACCAUCUCUCUGCUUCUUUCUCUCUUCCCCGCAAGCGGCACUUCUGGAUCGGGCCCGGGAUUCAUGGUCGGUGUGGAGGAGCAGGGGAGGGUGUGGAGGGGAGAUGCGAGGAAGGAGUGGUCAGGUGAUGGUGGAAUUUAACAGGCCAUCACUGCCUGUCGCUGCUUUCCCGUCGCCGUGCCCCAUCCCCAAUCUUAGCUGCACAUCUAUCUUUCUCCUCUAUUUUCUUGCCGCUUGAUUCGGCUGGUUCUUUGAUAAUCUGAUUUUGAUUUCUCAAUUUAUGUUUUUUCUAUAAGAUGUGUGCAGAUCGAAUGAAGAAGACAAGAGGAAGACUGAAGAACAAGCAAAUUUGGGCAGAGUAGGGGAAAGCGAGGGUCAGAAGAGCAAGGUCUUGUCAGAAUUUUAGAGAUAGAAAAUGGAAUACUUGGAGGUGUACUGCAGGAAGGUGGACGAUGCCAAUCAGACCAGGGUCAAGCAGCAGCAGUCUGUGGCCACUAAAGAAGCUGAGGUUGAUAUGUUAGUGGCUACUCUAGGGGAGCACAAGUUGUAUCUCAAGGUAUGCAUGCUAAUCAUCGUCAUGAUGAUUCACUAAUUGGGUUGGUUGUAUGUUCACUUCCUGAGUGGUUGUUUGGCUCCCUCGAGAUGAUGGAAUCUGGCUGUUGUUGGUAACAUGCACGAUUCAAAUUGUGGAUUGCUACUAAAUAGGGCUUGGCGAUGCCUGAUUGUUUUUUUUUGUGUCAAAAAGGUAGCUACUGGCUUGUACUAAACCUCUAGGCAAUACAACCUUACUUUAAUCUUUUUACUAGGAUGCUUUUGUCAAUUUCUCGGCACUUGCGCAUAAAGACAAGAGCUACGUGUCGCUCAAGGAACAAGUUGCCGCUGUUGUUCCUGUGCUUGACGAUCUGAAAUGCAAGACAGAAGAAAGGAUCAAGUAUUACGAUAUUCAAUCACAGAUUGAGAAGAUAUGCUCUAUAAGUUAAUUAACUACAUGUCUGCAUUAAUAUAUUUUCCUGAUGGGUUUCCCUACUAUGGCUCAUGGUCAUAGAUGUAGUUUGCCUUUGCUGCUGUUGUUUCUCUCAAUAUUUCUAUCCCACUAUAUUGUAUGUGUUCUGAAUGUACCUGUAUAUGAAAGAUGAUUAUCUCCAUUAUUAUUGUUCGUACUACCAUUUUUAUCCAAGAUUAAAACACCUAACGCGUGCCUUUUUUUAAGUAUCUUUAAUGCAGCCUAUUGGUUCUUAACUUACUACCAACUACUAGCGGAGAUAGCUUUCUGAAAUAAGCAUGCUAAGCAUGAACGUUGUUCUACUUAUGGGAAGAACCCUCAGGUGAUGAUAGGUCAUGGUUCUUUGCCAUUUCCUUUACAAAAUCGGUUGAAUCUUGUGAUUCUAAGUUAGUAUCAAGUCCUAUAUACCUUUCUGUUUGUAUAAAUUCACAACUCUCAUGGAAACUCUCGAAUUGCGAGUAUUAAUCUCAGGCUGCUGGGUAUGUUUGCUGAUAGUAUGCUGCCAUGCAUCCACUGAGCAAUUUUCUUGUGAUUUUACUUGUGAUGACACAUUUCUAAUCGUUCUCUUUGGGAUACUGAAAUAUGGUUUGCCUUGGGAAAUAUCUGAUAUAGGAUCCAUGCUACUUUAUUUGAAUUGUUUUUAUGUUUGCACCCUUAUUUUGAUUUUAGUUACGAUGUUCUCUUUCUUUUGGUUGCUCACAUGUGUUUUUUGUCGCCAUUCUCCAUCUAGAGAUCCAGGCAGCAUCUAGAUUGCUGUUAUCAUCCUCCAUCAACAAAACCAUGGGGUCCUUGUGGGAGCUGCAUACAAACCUUGUGGAUGUAUUUGGUUGGUAGCUGCAGCAGCCUACCAAUCGGAUAAGAGAAGCCAAGGGGCCAUCGGCGAUGGUGUAGCUUCAGCAUCCUGUCAAUCGAAGGAGAGGCCAAGGAGUCAUCGGCAAGAAGCAACCUUAUCCUGGACCUUGAAGUGGAGUAAUGGUUAACAAUGUUUUAUGGAUCAUAUGUUUUCUUUUGUUCACACUUGAGAGCUACAAGCAUUAAGAUGUUAUGAUAAAUUAUGUACCAAAGUUUGCUUUGUCCGUGGUCAUAUCUAUAUGUGUUAAUUUAUUUUCCUAUAGUCGUAUCGAUAUUAUUA